CUGGAAAGCAGCACAGCGUCAGACUGGCCUGCCCCAUUUCCCUGCACAGAGUCUUCACCUUGGCAGGUCAUCACCACAUACACAUGCUGACGGGACAGACACUCAAUCGCACCAUCCCCAAAUGAUGGACACAGAGAUGUCAAGAUCCCAUGAGGAGUGGCUUCACUAUCUGAAAUACAAGAGCACAGGACACCUGAUUGCCUCAGACCACCAGGGAUCAUAAGAAAAAACACUGAACUGGAAGCCCACCAUGAAAUCAUCAACAACAGGACCCCAGGAGGCCAGCUAGUGUCUUGCCAGCUACCACAGGAGACCUUCAGGGACACAGUUUUCACCUUGUCUUUGCUUCCAACACUCGGAAUGGACUCCCAAGCAUUGCACUUGUUUCUGCCCCUGCCCUGCUGCUUCCUUGCACUGUCUCCUCUCCGGAGAGUCCUACUUCUAUGAGUACUGCAUGCAGAAAUACUGUUUGUCAUUGUUGCACGUCAUGCUAUUUUCUGUUUUAUGCAGGAACUAACACCAGAUGAUCUUAAACAGUCCCUUGCAGCUGCCCAGGACUGGAAUUUGGCUGGAACCAACCCUCCUCCCUGGGAGACUGACACUGAAAAACAUGCAUCGGGGAUUUUCUGGGUCUGCAGAAGGGGAAAAUCUUAAACCACGGUUGAUUGCCAGGGCAGAAAUGUCUCACAGUGCCCUGAAAUGGUAAGCCUAUUCCAAACCCUGUUGUCCAGGUGACUUUGCACUCUGUGCUAACGGGGGGGGGGGGGGGGGGGGGCGCGUACCGCGUCCGUGCUUCGAGCUGUGGUUGCAGAGGACAACCUUCCUGAAGAUGCCCUGAGCUGGAACACAAGCCUGGCUGCGCUGGCUGCAGAAUCAAAUUGCCUUUUGGAUGUGGCUGGGCUGUCAGCUCUGCUGCCAGGCACUGCUGCUCCAUCUGUGGAUUGGGACUUGCAGCUUUAGACCUGCUGCUACCGCUGGUUUGCUGCAUGAGUCAGGUGCAUCACCGCCUUUUGCUGCCUCAGUCACCCUGUCUGUGCCACAGAGAUGAUCACCAGGGGAGGGCAGCUGGGAGAAAGUAUCUCUCGAGGAGGUUCAUGUGCAGCGAAGUCUAAGGAGGCCUGAUAUGACUUUAGUUUACUGACCUGAGGACUCAUGCGUAUGACGAAGGCCAUAGGCGCUGGAACCUCAUGGCUUCAGGUCAGAAUGCUCAAUCACAGAAGAUGCAGAGAAAUCUCUGGUGGCCAUAAUAUGAAGGUUGGUAAAAUCAAAGUACAUGCUAUGCAAAAUUAUUUGUAGCCUAUUACAUCAGCCUCUGAGCAGCUGUGUCACUUUCUGUGUAUGGAUUAAAUAUAUAGUUCAUUAAAAAAUGUAAUUUCCCUGGCAAGACCAACUUUGAGUUGUGCUCCCUUCUGCUGUGCAACCUACACUCACAGAGAAGAGCUCUGGGCUAAGAAACCCUCUAGAAAUAUUUAACUUAAGAAUCUGUUUUUUCAGUCAUUUAAGAUUCCAUGAAUUGUUAAUAAGUAUUUAAGUGCAAUAAUAAAGAAUGCAUAUAUACCA
ensembl:lncRNA